GAUGAACGCUGGCGGCGUGCCUAAUACAUGCAAGUCGAGCGAACGGACGAGAAGCUUGCUUCUCUGAUGUUAGCGGCGGACGGGUGAGUAACACGUGGAUAACCUACCUAUAAGACUGGGAUAACUUCGGGAAACCGGAGCUAAUACCGGAUAAUAUUUUGAACCGCAUGGUUCAAAAGUGAAAGACGGUCUUGCUGUCACUUAUAGAUGGAUCCGCGCUGCAUUAGCUAGUUGGUAAGGUAACGGCUUACCAAGGCAACGAUGCAUAGCCGACCUGAGAGGGUGAUCGGCCACACUUGAACUGAGACACGGUCCAGACUCCUACGGGAGGCAGCAGUAGGUAAUCGUCCGCGAUGGGCGAAAGCCUGACGGGCAACGCCGCGUGAGUGAUGAAGGUCUUCGGAUCGUAAAACUCUGUUAUUAGGGAAGAACAUAUGUGUAAGUAACUGUGCACAUCUUGACGGUACCUAAUCAGAAAGCCACGGCUAACUACGUG
rnacentral:rRNA from 1 species